CAGUAGCCGCGGUAAGACAGAGGAUGCAAGCGUUAUCCGGAAUGAUUGGGCGUAAAGCGUCUGUAGGUGGCUUUUCAAGUCCGCCGUCAAAUCCCAGGGCUCAACCCUGGACAGGCGGUGGAAACUACCAAGAUGGAGUACGGUAGGGGCAGAGGGAAUUUCCGGUGGAGCGGUGAAAUGCGUUGAGAUCGGAAGGAACACCAACGGUGAAAGCACUCUGCUGGGCCGACACUGACACUGAGAGACGAAAGUUAGGGGAGAAAAUGGGAUUAGAGACCCCGGUAGUCCCUGUCUCUUAUAC
rnacentral:rRNA from 1 species